CUUUGACAGACGGGGGUCUGUACUGUUGGAAUGAAUGAAAUACAGUGAUGUGUUAACUUAUACAUCCACGGCAAGUAACGCAUAAUUGAAUAAAAUGUAUUUUGAUUUCUUACAGCUCUACAGUGUGGGCCACUUAUUUUUGCAGCCUGAGAAUGAGUUUUCUGUCACGGCAACCCAGGCAGACAUUGAGGCACAGCAGGUGAUACCAGACACACCCAGGCUCAUUAUGCUUGGACAUUCAAUUAUGACAGCAUCCAAGUGGAUGUUAUCAAUUGAGGGAAACAUUAUCUGGAGCAGAGACGGAUUAAACUGAAGCUCUCAACAGUCAACGACAUGAUAUUCUUGCAUGGGCACAAGUAGUCAU